GCAGCCCGUGUAUAAAAAACACCAACAGAGAACUUUUUUUGCUAUUUCUUCAGCACAAGAAAUAGUAGUGCUUGGACCGCACGGCAAAGAGAGGGAUCCUGCCCCAAGAAGCUAGGGUACACGGCUUACACUGAGGGAGAAGUGAAGAAGAAGGAGACAUGUGGCUCCAGCUUUGCACCCUGCUUGCCCUCCUGUCCCUGAGCGGGAAAGCCACUGCCCAAGCCAACAACGCGCCUUCAACCCUGAGGAAAAUUGUAGAAAAAAGUGUCUUGCCUCCACCAGCAGCAUCUCUCCAGGGACGCAGGGAAGAUCGUGUGGUGCCAGGGCACUCACCGGCUGUAAAACCCUCCAGAACAGAGAGAAAGGAUUUUUCCAAGCCAUCAGAGGUCAAAACUCCUCGCAGAAAACGCCAGUCGUUUGAGUCAAGCAUCAAAUGGGUCGACUUCAGAGGAAGUUUGCCUAACUGGGCUGUGUCCAACUGGAACAACUAUGCCAAAAGACAAGAAUAUGUCUGUGCUGUGUCAGGUUGCGACACGGGAUCCUACUCCCCAGAACGCGGCCCCUAUUGUUACUAUCCCUAUGGGGAAAAAGAGCUGUCAUCCUCUCGUUUUAAGAUCCUGAUAAAUGAAGGAAACAGGGCAUGGCUGGAAUGGAAAAGUGCAUCCUUUGGCAAUGCCCCAUCAAAUGCCGUUAGGAGUUGCCCAUGGGAAGAUAUCUAUGUGGGAAGGAACAAGUAUGGUUUGGGGAAAGUGCAUGGCCGCCACAGCGCUUUCUUUGUGGUCACUGAUGGCUAUGAGUCUUGGUAUAAAUACUAUGACGUUCUGACUGUUAGGAGAGAGUAAGCGCAUAGAGAGAGGGAACUUGGGAACAAAUCAUUUCAUCCUAAGAUAAACAUCUGAUACGUGUCAGAUGCAUGUUGUCUGCCUGUUUCUUGACAUGAAGACACUGGACUGGUGUUUUUUCAUUUGACAUUGAAUUGAUGUUUUCCUACAAAGAAAAUGUUCCCUUGACGCCAUGCCCUAUGUUUGCUGUAUACUCUUUGAAGAUACAAAAUUGAGAAUGCAUUUCCUAAUCUGUUUUGCU